GGCGAGUGAAGCGGCAACAGCUCAGAUUUGAAAUCUGGCCCCCAGGGCCCGAGUUGUAAUCUGUAGAGGAUGCUUCUGGCAAGGCGCCGUCCGAGUUCCCUGGAACGGGACGCCGGAGAGGGUGAGAGCCCCGUACAGGCGGACGCCGAGCCUCUGUGAAGCUCCUUCGACGAGUCGAGUAGUUUGGGAAUGCUGCUCAAAGCGGGAGGUAAAUUUCUUCUAAAGCUAAAUACCGGCCAGAGACCGAUAGCGCACAAGUAGAGUGAUCGAAAGAUGAAAAGCACUUUGAAAAGAGGGUUAAAAAGCACGUGAAAUUGUUGAAAGGGAAGCGCCUGUGACCAGACUCGCGCCCGGCGGAUCAUCCGGCGUUCUCGCCGGUGCACUCCGCCGGGCUCGGGCCAGCAUCGGUUCUGGCGGGGGGAUAAAGGCGGCGGGGAUGUGGCUCCCCCCGGGGAGUGUUAUAGCCCGCCGCUCAAUGCCCUCGCCGGGACCGAGGACCGCGCCUUGUGCAAGGAUGCUGGCGUAAUGGUCACCAGCGACCCGUCUUGAAACACGGACCAAGGAGUCAAGCAUUAGGGCGAGUGUUUGGGUGUAAAACCCGCACGCGAAAUGAAAGUGAACGUAGGUGGGAGCCUCGGCGCACCAUCGACCGAUCCUGAUGUCUUCGGAUGGAUUUGAGUAAGAGCCUUAACGCUUGGACCCGAAAGAUGGUGAACUAUGCUUGUGUAGGGUGAAGCCAGAGGAAACUCUGGUGGAGGCUCGCAGCGGUUCUGACGUGCAAAUCGAUCGUCAAACAUGAGCAUGGGGGCGAAAGACUAAUCG
rnacentral:rRNA from 1 species